rnacentral:tRNA from 1 species
GCGGGAAUAGCUCAGUUGGUAGAGCACGACCUUGCCAAGGUCGGGGUCGCGAGUUCGAGCCUCGUUUCCCGCUCC